rnacentral:rRNA from 1 species
CCUACGUGGGGCUGCAGUGGGGAAUAUUGGACAAUGGGCGAAAGCCUGAUCCAGCCAUGCCGCGUGUGUGAAGAAGGCCUUCGGGUUGUAAAGCACUUUCAGUGGGGAAGAAAGCCUUGGGGCUAAUACCCUCGAGGAAGGACAUCACCCACAGAAGAAGCACCGGCUAACUCCGUGCCAGCAGCCGCGGUAAUACGGAGGGUGCGAGCGUUAAUCGGAAUUACUGGGCGUAAAGCGCGCGUAGGCGGUCUGAUAAGCCGGUUGUGAAAGCCCCGGGCUCAACCUGGGAACGGCAUCCGGAACUGUCAGGCUAGAGGGCAGGAGAGGAAGGUAGAAUUCCCGGUGUAGCGGUGAAAUGCGUAGAGAUCGGGAGGAAUACCAGUGGCGAAGGCGGCCUUCUGGACUGACACUGACGCUGAGGUGCGAAAGCGUGGGUAGCAAACAGGAUUAGAUACCCUAGUAGUC